rnacentral:misc_RNA from 1 species
GAAAUGCGAUAAUUAAUGUGAAUUGCAGAAUUCAGUGAAUCAUCGAGUCUUUGAACGCACAUUGCGCCCCCUGGUAUUCCGGGGGGCAUGCCUGUCCGAGCGUCAUUGCUGCCCUCAAGCACGGCUUGUGUGUUGGGCUUCCGUCCCUGGCAACGGGGACGGGCCCAAAAGGCAGUGGCGGCACCAUGUCUGGUCCUCGAGCGUAUGGGGCUUUGUCACCCGCUCCCGUAGGUCCAGCUGGCAGCUAGCCUCGCAACCAAUCUUUUUAACCAGGUUGACCUCGGAUCAGGUAGGGAUACCCGCUGAACUUUAGC